UACGGAGGGUGCGAGCGUUAUUCGGAAUUAUUGGGCGUAAAGGGCGCGUAGGCGGUUGAAUAAGUCAGAUGUGAAAGCCCUUGGCUUAACCAAGGAAGUGCAUUUGAUACUAUUUGACUUGAGUAUGGGAGAGGGAAGUGGAAUUCCUGGUGUAGAGGUGAAAUUCGUAGAUAUCAGGAGGAACACCGGUGGCGAAAGCGGCUUCCUGGACCAAUACUGACGCUGAGGCGCGAAGGCGUGGGGAGCAAACAGG
rnacentral:rRNA from 1 species